UCUCCGUAGGUGAACCUGCGGAGGGAUCAUUACCGAGUGAGGGCCUCUGGCCCGACCUCCAACCCUUUGUUAUCAAAACCACUGUUGCCUCGGGGGCGACCCUGCCGCUUCGGCGGUGCGGCGCCCCCGGAGGCCAUUAAACACUGCAUCAUUGCGUCGGAGUUAAAGUAAAUUAAACAAAACUUUCAACAACGGAUCUCUUGGUUCCAGCAUCGAUGAAGAACGCAGC
rnacentral:misc_RNA from 1 species